UAUUGGUCAAUGGGCGAGAGCCUGAACCAGCCAAGUCGCGUGAAGGAUGACGGCCCUACGGGUUGUAAACUUCUUUUGUCAGGGAGCAAUUGGGUCCACGUGUGGGCUUAGCGAGAGUACCUGAAGAACAAGCAUCGGCUAACUCCGUGCCAGCAGCCGCGGUAAUACGGAGGAUGCGAGAGUUAUCCGGAUUUAUUUGGUUUAAAGGGUGCGUAGGCGGAAUAUCAAGUCAGCGGUAAAAAUUCGGGGCUCAACCCCGUCGUGCCGUUGAAACUGAUGUUCUUGAGUGGGCGAGAAGUAUGCGGAAUGCGUGGUGUAGCGGUGAAAUGCAUAGAUAUCACGCAGAACUCCGAUUGCGAAGGCAGCAUACCGGCGCCCAACUGACGCUGAAGCACGAAAGCGUGGGUAUCGAACAGG
rnacentral:rRNA from 1 species